CUGGGUUUGACAUAUACCGGACCGCCGAUGAAAGUCGGCUUUCCUUCGGGACCAGUAAACAGGUGCUGCAUGGCUGUCGUCAGCUCGUGUCGUGGGAUGUUGGGUUAAGUCCCGCAACGAGCGCAACCCUUGUCCAUAGUUGCCAGCGGUUCGGCCGGGAACUCUAUGGAGACUGCCAGCGACAAGCUGGAGGAAGGCGGGGACGACGUCAAGUCAUCAUGGCCCUUAUGGGCAGGGCUACACACGUGCUACAAUGGUCGGUACAGAGGGCUGCAAACCCGCGAGGGGGAGCCAAUCCCAGAAAGCCGAUCGUAGUCCGGAUCGGAGUCUGCAACUCGACUCCGUGAAGUCGGAAUCGCUAGUAAUCGCGAAUCAGCAUUGUCGCGGUGAA
rnacentral:rRNA from 1 species